AUACCUUUCUCGGCCUUUUGGCUAAGAUCAAGUGUAGUAUCAGUUCUUAUCAGUUUAAUAUCUGAUAUGUGGAUCAUCGAUUCACACGAUAUUAAAUUUAUUUUUUUUGGGUGAAGAUCUGUUACAAUGGCUUGCUGUUGAGAUUUUCUGUCGUCGUAGUUUUGCAUUAUUGCUUUGAUUGGCAAAACCCUC
rnacentral:snRNA from 1 species